UUACCAGUAUCAUACAAAAUCUC
rnacentral:snRNA from 1 species